UACGGGGGGGGCAAUCGUUGUUCGGAAUUACUGGGCGUAAAGGGCUCGUAGGCGGCCAACUAAGUCAUACGUGAAAUCCCUCGGCUUAACCGGGGAACUGCGUCUGAUACUGGAUGGCUUGAGUUCGGGAGAGGGAUGCGGAAUUCCAGGUGUAGCGGUGAAAUGCGUAGAUAUCUGGAGGAACACCGGUGGCGAAGGCGGCAUCCUGGACCGAUACUGACGCUGAGGAGCGAAAGCCAGGGGAGCAAACGGG
rnacentral:rRNA from 1 species